GUGGAUUAGAUACCCUAGUAGUCCACCCCGUAAACGUUGGGAACUAGUUGUGGGGUCCAUUCCACGGAUUCCGUGACGCAGCUAACGCAUUAAGUUCCCCGCCUGGGGAGUACGGCCGCAAGGCUAAAACUCAAAGGAAUUGACGGGGACCCGCACAAGCGGCGGAGCAUGCGGAUUAAUUCGAUGCAACGCGAAGAACCUUACCAAGGCUUGACAUAUAGAGGAAACGGCUGGAAACAGUCGCCCCGCAAGGUCUCUAUACAGGUGGUGCACGGCCGUCGCCAGCU
rnacentral:rRNA from 1 species